rnacentral:rRNA from 1 species
UACGAAGGGGGCUAGCGUUGCUCGGAAUCACUGGGCGUAAAGCGCACGUAGGCGGAUUUUUAAGUCAGGGGUGAAAUCCUGGAGCUCAACUCCAGAACUGCCUUUGAUACUGGGAAUCUAGAGUCCGGGAGAGGUGAGUGGAACUGCGAGUGUAGAGGUGAAAUUCGUAGAUAUUCGCAAGAACACCAGUGGCGAAGGCGGCCCACUGGUCCGGUACUGACGCUGAGGUGCGAAAGCGUGGGGAGCAAACAGG